rnacentral:rRNA from 1 species
CUACGGGGGGCUCCAGUGGGGAAUAUUGCACAAUGGGCGAAAGCCUGAUGCAGCAACGCCGCGUGGAGGAUGACACAUUUCGGUGCGUAAACUCCUUUUAUAUAAGAAGAUAAUGACGGUAUUAUAUGAAUAAGCACCGGCUAACUCCGUGCCAGCAGCCGCGGUAAUACGGGGGGUGCAAGCGUUACUCGGAAUCACUGGGCGUAAAGAGCAUGUAGGCUGGAUGACAAGUUGGAAGUGAAAUCCUAUGGCUUAACCAUAGAACUGCUUCCAAAACUGUCUUCCUAGAGUAUGGGAGAGGUAGAUGGAAUUUCUGGUGUAGGGGUAAAAUCCGUAGAGAUCAGAAGGAAUACCGAUUGCGAAGGCGAUCUACUGGAACAUUACUGACGCUCAGAUGCGAAAGCGUGGGGAGCAAACAGGAUUAGAUACCCUCGUAGUC